CAGUGGGGAAUCUUGGACAAUGGGCGCAAGCCUGAUCCAGCCAUGCCGCGUGUGUGAUGAAGGCCUUAGGGUCGUAAAGCACUUUCGCCAGAGAUGAUAAUGACAGUAUCUGGUAAAGAAACCCCGGCUAACUCCGUGCCAGCAGCCGCGGUAAUACGGAGGGGGUUAGCGUUGUUCGGAAUUACUGGGCGUAAAGCGCACGUAGGCGGAUUAGUCAGUCAGAGGUGAAAUCCCAGGGCUCAACCCUGGAACUGCCUUUGAUACUGCUAGUCUUGAGUUCGAGAGAGGUGAGUGGAAUUCCGAGUGUAGAGGUGAAAUUCGUAGAUAUUCGGAGGAACACCAGUGGCGAAGGCGGCUCACUGGCUCGAUACUGACGCUGAGGUGCGAAAGUGUGGGGAGCAAACAGGAUUAGAUACCCUGGUAGUCCACACCGUAAACGAUGAAUGCCAGUCGUCGGGUAGUAUACUAUUCGGUGACACACCUAACGGAUAAGCAU
rnacentral:rRNA from 1 species